UCCGCCGCUUGUGCCCUCCGGCGGCUUCUGAGUGCAAGUGGAACGAGCGCCGUCGUCCCCUUUGUUGCAGCCAUUUCGGGCAGGCUCUGUUGACUGCUGAUAACGGGGAGUGACGCACGCUGAUACGACGUGGUGUCACGGAUUGAUAGGGAUUCCUUCAUCUUCGCCCGUGUGCUUGCAUAGAGUCCCGUUUACCAGAGGACCCGAUCCAGGGUGCUGUCAACCUCCCUACUGAGACUUCCAUUCCACUGGCGCCGGAGAUGAAUCAUGAAGGCCAUCAUCGCAAGCCAAUGGCACAGAAGGAGAAGAGAACAAUGAUAUAAUAUGUAAUAAACUGUCAAUAACUCUCAGUUCUUUCAUGCUCGGGUGCUCUUUCUGCUCGUGUUUCUCAUUCAACAUUUUUGUAAAAGUCCCCAAAUCUGUUUGGUUACAAUCUCAAAGUCUGGAUCAUUUGGCAUGGAAUGACCCUCAACAACCUGUGGUGUAUAUCCUUUCGUAAAUAGCCAUUCUAAUGUUCGUGUAAGCAAGUAAACAUCACUACUGUAUACUACAAGAGGGAUGUCAUACUGGCUUAGAACAAGCUAUAUUGUCUGUGAUGCAUUUGUUUCAGAAAGAAUACCUUGCUAGUUUUGGGAGGACCCGCUUUCCACGCUGUAGUCAGGGCUGCUGUGUCCAGAGUAUUGCGGCCAUUGCUACAGGCCGAAUUCAGUGUGAAUGAGAAGAAAGGUAGCAAGUGUGCGUUCACAGGGUCCAAUCCUUGCACUGUUGUGAUUGGAGCAAUAAUGCAGCGGUCCCCACUGCACGAGGAGCCAGCUGUGUGCAAGGCUGUAGGAAGGUUCAUUUUUGGCGCGGGUGACAGAGACAGCGGCAGGCAGAAGCGCAAGACAACUUCCAACUUAUGCAUCACUCCUGCCCCUUCAUACCAGAACGUCAUACGGGAGAACGAUCACCCGGAUUUCUGAUGUUGCACUUUCGGAAUAUGUGUAUUAAUUCUUAAAUAAAAGGCAACAUUAACAUG